rnacentral:rRNA from 1 species
UACGUAGGUGGCAAGCGUUGUCCGGAUUUAUUGGGUUUAAAGGGUGCGUAGGCGGUCUUGUAAGUCAGUUCUGAAAUAUCCCGGCUUAACCGGGAGGGUGGGAUUGAUACUGCAGGACUUGAGUGGAGUCGAGGUAGGCGGAAUUGACGGUGUAGCGGUGAAAUGCUUAGAUAUCGUCAAGAACACCGAUAGUGUAGACAGCUUACUAGGCUCAAACUGACGCUGAGGCACGAAAGUGUGGGGAUCAAACAGG